CCCCCUCUUCGACCUUCUUAUUGCCGUCCCCCUCCAGCCGCCGCCUGGGCCCUUGAGCGCCGUAGUUGGGAGCGAAACCCUAUCCCUCCCAUUCCUACCAAACCCUAGAAAACCCAAAAAAAUCCGCAAAAUUACCCCCAAAAAUCUUGAAAAAAAUCAUCAGGAACCUAUCCUUCGGUCGGAUCCGCUUAUCUAUUAUCUCUCCUACCCGGUUGAUGAUGGAGGCGCAAGUUCAGGCGUCGGCAGCGCCAGCGGCUGCCGCGAUGGAGGGCGGCGCGUCUCCCGUGGCUGGGACUGCGGCAGCAGCCGCACCCGCAACCGCUGCGGCUUUCCCGGCGACGUCCCUGUACGUGGGGGAUCUGGACGUGAGUGUGCAGGACGCGCAGCUCUUUGACGUCUUCAGCCAGGUCGGCUCGGUGGUGUCUGUGCGCGUGUGCCGGGACGUCAACACCAGGAUGUCCCUAGGUUACGCGUACGUCAACUUCAGCAGCCCUGCCGAUGCUGCAAGGGCAUUGGAAAUGCUGAACUUUACUCCUGUUAAUGGGAAGCCUAUAAGGAUAAUGUAUUCUAACCGUGACCCAAGCUCACGUAAAAGUGGUGCUGCAAAUAUAUUUAUCAAGAAUCUUGACAAGUCAAUAGAUAACAAAGCGCUCUAUGACACAUUUUCUGCCUUUGGAAACAUUCUUUCAUGCAAAGUUGCUACAGAAAUGUCUGGAGAAUCCAAGGGUUAUGGUUUUGUUCAGUAUGAGCAGGACGAAUCAGCACAGAAUGCUAUCAAUGAACUCAAUGGGAUGCUUUUGAAUGACAAAAAGGUUUAUGUUGGGCCUUUUGUUCGUAAACAGGAAAGGGAAAAUGUUUUUGGCAGUCCCAAGUUCAAUAAUGUCUAUGUAAAGAAUCUAUCAGAAUCUACCACUGAAGAUAAUCUGAGAGAAUUGUUUGGUAAUUUUGGACCUAUAACUAGUGUUAUUGUAGUGCGAGGCGAUGAUGGUAAAUCCAGAUGCUUUGGAUUCGUGAACUUUGAAAAUCCGGAUGAUGCUGCAUGUGCUGUUGAGGAUUUGAAUGGCAAGAAAUUUGAUGAUAAGGAAUUGUAUGUUGGUAGAGCCCAAAAGAAGUCUGAAAGGGAGAUGCAAUUGAAGGAAAAUUUUGAGAAAAGCAAUAAAGAGACAGCUGACAGGAACCAAGGCACUAACUUGUAUUUGAAAAACUUGGAUGGUAGUGUUGAUGACGAUGAGAAGUUAAAAGAACUUUUUGCUGAAUUUGGCACUAUAACUUCUUGCAAGGUUAUGCGGGAUUCAAAUGGGGUCAACAAAGGAUCUGGUUUUGUUGCAUUUAAAUCUUCUGAAGAUGCUUCACGAGCUCUUGUGGCAAUGAAUGGUAAAAUGGUUGGCGGUAAGCCUCUUUACGUAGCACUUGCGCAACGCAAGGAAGAAAGAAGAGCCAGGCUGCAGGCACAGUUUUCGCAAAUGCGUCCUGUGAUGCCACCGCCAGUUGCUCCGCGCAUGCCCAUGUACCCCCCUGGUGUUCCUGGAAUGGGCCAACAACUAUUCUAUGGCCAACCACCUCCAGCUUUUGUUAACCCACAGCCUGGAUUUGGUUUCCAGCAACAUAUGAUUCCUGGAAUGAGACCUGGUGUUGCUCCAAUGCCAAAUUUCGUCAUGCCAAUGGUGCAGCAAGGUCAGCAACCACAACGCCCAUUUGGAAGGCGCGCAGGUGCUGGUGGAAUGCAGCAGCCAAUGCCAAUGGGUCAUCAGCAGAUGGUUCCAAGGGGCGGCCGUGGUGGCUACCGUUAUCCGUCUGGCCGUGGCAUGCCUGAUGCUGCAUUCCGUGGUGUUGGAGCUAUGGUGCCAUCGCUGUAUGAGAUGGGAAGGAUGACUCCUGGUGACACUGGAGCACCGCAGCAAGUUUCUAGUGGAGCAUUAGCAUCUGCACUUGCUAACUCUCCGCCGGAGCAGCAACGACUGAUGCUUGGUGAAAGCUUGUACCCACUUGUUGAUCAGCUGGAGCAUGACCAGGCUGCCAAGGUUACUGGUAUGCUUCUGGAGAUGGACCAGACUGAGGUCCUUCAUCUAAUCGAGUCACCUGAUGCUCUGAAGUCUAAGGUCGCUGAAGCUAUGGAGGUUCUCCGCAGUGCUCAGCAGCAGCAAACCAAUGUUCCAGCUGAUCAGCUGGCUGCUCUUUCGCUGAGCGAUGGCUUUGUUGCUUCUUAGUUGGAAUGCUGCUUGUUUCUGGUUUCUGUAUGUGCUUGGUGCUUCAGACCUGAAAUUGUCUAGUUUUACUCAAAUAGAUUUAACUGUGGAUUUCAACAUAUUGUACUCUUUAUAUUUGUUUAAAUAUUGAGAUUGAAAAAUGAUAUAUUCGUGGAUUUCUGUUUGUCCUAGGUGCUGCUGGAAUUUUGGAAAACGAUUUGCUUGUGCCUGGUGAAGCGACGCUGGCAUCAGUCGCCGCUACUGUUGUUGCAGGCAGCUCUAGUGAGAAUGAGGGGAGUAAGAAGGUUAACAAGAAGAAUAAGAAGAAAGGCAAUCUCCGUGGAUUCAAGUUGAGGUUUAACUCAAAACGGCUGGGUCGGCUUGGGAAGCAGUUAUCACCAGAGAAACAGAGAAUUAUAAGGAAUGGCCCAUUUGGACACUUGUUGGACAUCUAGCCUUUCAAGGCGCCUCAUGAGCUCAUUGAGUUUGUUGUGAUGUUCAUGAAUCACACACUCCGUGGGUUCAAAUACAAGAACAAAUCCAUCAACUUCAGCAAACUCAUGGUGAGAAAGAUUUUCAACGUGCCAUCCGGUGAUAGACCUGUGAAGCUUCUAAAGAAGGGCGAUGAACAUGACCUUCACAACAUCUACAAAGAGGGGAACAUGGCGCCAAUCACCCAUGUUAUCAAGUUGCUCAAAGAUUGCAGCGAUGAGGAUGAGGUUAUGAUAAAGGAAAAGACUUCCUAUAUGUAGUCUGAUAGGAACCUAUCGUCAGACCAAUCGUG
rnacentral:rRNA from 1 species